GGACCGGAAGUGAGCAGGAAGGGAACCCCUCAUCCCUCCCUGCAGGGCAGCCCUAGGGCUGAGGGGAGAGCUGUGCCCAAGGCAGAGACGCUAGUUCAUAAAAUCACACGGAGAACUGACAGAAGCUCAGAAACCCACUCGCAUUUGACAGAGCAGCGCGGAGGCUUGUGAAUGAGGGAGAGCUGCGGCAGAGCUGAGGCUCCCUACCCUCGGCCACCCCAAGAUCUCCGCGGAGCCUGCGCUGUAAAGAGCACCUCCGACAUGCCAGUGCUGGUGGUAGAGCCGUGAACGACAGACACAAAGUCCUGCCCUCGUUGCACCCGGGCACUUCGUCUUUUAAGUUGUUAUUGAGGUUGACAGGAAGCCAUCAAAAUGCUGGAGGAGAAAGCAGGCAAAAACCUGCUUGUAGCAGGUUUUGAUCUUGCCCGAAGCAAUUUCUCACUCAACAGGUCUCCAGAGGCAAGGGAAACAAAAGCAAAAAUGAACUCCUGGGACCUCAUCAAAAUAAAAAGCUUCUGCCCAGCGAAGGAAA